ACCUGGGUGGCUCAGUCGGUGAAGCGUCUGACUUUGGCUCAGGUCAUGAUCUCACAGUUCGUGGGUUCGAGCCCCGCGUCAGGCU
rfam:Felis catus isolate Cinnamon breed Abyssinian chromosome D2, whole genome shotgun sequence.